rnacentral:rRNA from 1 species
AUUGAACGCUGGCGGCAUGCCUUACACAUGCAAGUCGAACGGCAGCGCGGGCUUCGGCCUGGCGGCGAGUGGCGAACGGGUGAGUAAUGCAUCGGAACGUGCCCAGUAGUGGGGGAUAGCCCGGCGAAAGCCGGAUUAAUACCGCAUACGACCUGAGGGUGAAAGCGGGGGACCGAAAGGCCUCGCGCUAUUGGAGCGGCCGAUGUCGGAUUAGCUAGUUGGUGGGGUAAAGGCUUACCAAGGCGACGAUCCGUAGCUGGUCUGAGAGGACGACCAGCCACACUGGGACUUGGACACGGCCCAGACUCCUACGGGAGGCAGCAGUGGGGAAUUUUGGACAAUGGGGGCAACCCUGAUCCAGCCAUGCCGCGUGCGGGAAGAAGGCCUUCGGGUUGUAAACCGCUUUUGUUCGGGAAGAAAUCCUCUGGGCUAAUACCCCGGGGGGAUGACGGUACCGGAAGAAUAAGCACCGGCUAACUACGUG